rnacentral:rRNA from 1 species
AACGAACGCUGGCGGCAUGCCUAACACAUGCAAGUCGAACGAGACCUUCGGGUCUAGUGGCGCACGGGUGCGUAACGCGUUGGAACCUGCCCUUAGGUUUGGAAUAACUCCCCGAAAGGGGUGCUAAUACCGGCUAAUGUCUUCGGACCAAAGUUUUAUCGCCGUUGGAUGGGCCGGCGUUGGAUUAGCUAGUUGGUAGGGUAAAAGCCUACCAAGGCGACGAUCCAUAGCUGGUCUGAGAGGCUGAUCAGCCACACUGGUACUGAGACACGGCCCAGACUCCUGCGGGAGGCAGCAGUGGGGAAUAUUGGACAAUGGGCGGAAGCCUGAUCCAGCAAUGCCGCGUGAGUGAUGAAGGCCUUAGGGUUGUAAAGCUCUUUUACCCGGGAUGAUAAUGACAGUACCGGGAGAAUAAGCUCCGGCUAACUCCGUG